UUGCAAAGUUGUUCGGAUGCACUUCAUGGUUAGGGGCUGGACCAGGGUUGAUGGAUGCUGCAACUCGGGAUGCUAUUGGUCGCUGGGUUCAAGAUUUCUAAAGAAGCAGGGGAAUGGACAACAACCAGUUUUCAUUCGUAUAUUCCUUCUCAUGCUUACCUUACAUGCAGAAAGCAUGGGUUGAUGGAUGCAACCGUUAGAAGUAGUAAAGGGGAGAAGACGGGUCUGAUUGUGUUACUAGGUGGAAUUGGUACUCUGGAUGAGGCUUUUGACAUUCUUCCACUCAUCCAGUUCAAGAGGAUAGGUUUUGCACUCCCUGUUCCUUUUGUUUUGAUGAAUUAUGACUCCAUUUAUUCCAAGCUUUUAUAGUUUCUGGAGGUAUGUCAGGAUUGGGGGACUAUUUCCAAAGGAGAGGUUUCCUCCCUUUGGAAAGUAUAUAAAAAGGAACACAAUUUUGUUACCACUGAUUGGUAUUCGAUGUUGGGUUUAAAAAAAGUGUGUCAUCAGUGGAACACAAAUUUGUUACCUUUUAUAAUGCAACUUUUAAAGUAAAAAAAUUCGAAAUUACGAUGUUAUAAUAGAUUAAAAUGGAAGUAAGAUGCUACUGUACAAAAAUGAAUGGAAGUAUGCUAAAUCCAAAAACAAACAGUUGAUGAAGCAAAGAUUUUGCUACCCGGGACAUCAUCGAAGCCGAAAAAGUACAACCCGGUGCACCUACAUGUUGUGAGAUGGCUUCCUCCUUUUCAAUUCAACUUUUGACUAUUUUGCCCCUCUUGUGCUUUGGUGGAGUUUGACAUUUCUGCUGUUGCUACAUACAUUUUGUAAGUAUGCCAUGGGUUAUAUGAUGUUGGUAUGUGGUAAGGAAAACAGGGGAUAUGUAAAGGAAAAUAGGUUAGAUUCAUAACAUAUUUACAAAAACAUGUUCCAUAUUUCUUGAAUCCUUUAAAUUAAAUAACAUGCCAAAAUGA